rnacentral:rRNA from 1 species
UACGGAGGGUGCAAGCGUUAUCCGGAUUCACUGGGUUUAAAGGGUGCGUAGGCGGGCAGGUAAGUCCGUAGUGAAAUCUCUGAGCUUAACUCAGAAACUGCCAUGGAUACUAUUUGUCUUGAAUAUUGUGGAGGUAAGCGGAAUAUGUCAUGUAGCGGUGGAAUGCUUAGAUAUGACAUAGAACACCAAUUGCGAAGGCAGCUUACUACACAGUUAUUGACGCUGAGGCACGAAAGCGUGGGGAUCAAACAGG